rnacentral:rRNA from 1 species
AUUGAACGCUGGCGGCAGGCCUAACACAUGCAAGUCGAACGAGUGGCGGACGGGUGAGUAAUGUCUGGGAAACUGCCUGAUGGAGGGGGAUAACUACUGGAAAAGGUAGCUAAUACCGCAUACCCUCGGAUGUGCCCAGAUGGGAUUAGCUAGUAGGUGGUGUAACGGCUCACCUAGGCGACGAUCCUUAGCUGGUCUGAGAGGAUGACCGGCCACACUGGAACUGAGACACGGUCCAGAUGCCUACGGGAGGCAGCAGUGGGGAAUAUUGCACAAUGGGCGCAAGCCUGAUCCAGCCAUGCCGCGUGUAUGAAGAAGGCCUUCGGGUUGUAAAGUACUUUCAGCGGGGAGGCGUUACCCGCAGAAGAAGCACCGGCUAACUACGUGCCAGCCGCCGCGGUAAUAC